GCCCUGCCUCCUAGUUAUCUCCUCCACUCCCAGGAACCAUUUCCGGGGAAGACCCAAGAGAAGUCUAAUCCCAAUAUCACAGGAGAGACCAACACCCAGAGAAAGGGUGGGACCUACCCAAGACUAAACAGCUCAAACCCUUAAUUAACUCUUGCCUCUCAAGUUCUGGCCUUCUCAGCUGUUUCCAAGGGCAGAGAAAAAUGUGGUAUGCAGCCAGGCACACCUCCACAUCUGGGGCCUCACCCACCCAGCUCCAUCCCACCCUCCUCCUGUUUCUGCCACAGUCACUGGGUGUGGCUGUAACCUCAGGCCGGAGCCAUUUAGGCUCAGGAAACAGCUGGAUGUGGGUGUGAGGUUCCCACAUCCACAAACUGUUGCUUAUUCACUGUAGAAACUCUCGGAGCCUCAAUUUCCUCACCUCUAAAAUGGAGGUAAUGAUAUCUGCCCUCCUGGGCUCUCUGGAAGAGUCAUCUGAGAGGGGGACAUGGAGUCUGCUGUAGCAGCAGACACUCUGGAAGUGAUAAAUGCCCUAUUACUGUGACACCAGUAGCAUAGGAGGCUCAUAUUAUACCCAUUUCCAGGUCUGCAAAUUGGGCUCAACCUCACCACGACUGGUGGAAGGUGCUAAGCUCCAUCCUUCACCUGCCAAGGCUGAGCUCUGCCCUAAAGAUGCUUCACAGGAAGCAAAUACGGUGAUACAGGCAUUGCCAUGUAAUUUAAGUCAGACCAAUGAGGCUCAAUUGUGGGACUCUGGUUGAAAUCAAGGAGAGGAUGUGAGUAGAAGCAGCCCAGGGCCACCUUGCCUGUCACAUGGAGAGAACCUUCCUGAAAAAAGAUGUCAUAGAAGAGAGCACAGCCACAGAUGGAAAGACCAAGCCAGAUGACAUAAUGUGAAUUUCUGGAUCCAGCCCUACCUGAAGUCGGAGGUGCCAAGAAUUUUCAGUAAUAUGAGCCUUUUGUGUUUUAGACCUGCACAGUCCAAUAUGGUGGCCACAAGCCCCACAUGGCUAUUUAAAAUUUAAUUAAUUAAAAUUAAAUAAAACUUAAAACAUUCAGUUUCCCAAUUGCACUA